rnacentral:precursor_RNA from 12 species
CUUUGUAUCCUGAAUGUCUAUCACCCGGGCACUAGCAUAUAGUUGGUAAUUUAUAAAUAUUUCCUAACUGAUUACCAACUAUACGCCAGUGCCUGUGUAAUAGGAUGGCAACUAAUAGAUGC